UUCAUUCGACUCCGAACGGUUGUUUUUGGGACCACAAAUGAUAAUCCUCUCAUAAGAUGCCAUGUGACAGCUCAUGAGAGGAGAGAGGAAAAGUCGUUUGAAAAAGAGGAUGAGGUCUAGUUUUUGAGGGGCCACGAAAAAGUUCCUUCUUCUCAAAAAAGGCUCCCUUGGCCAAAAUCCCCAGACGAUUUUCCUGUCUUCUGCCUCAAUAAUCUCUCACUCUAAAAAAAAGAAAAUAAAGAAAAGAAAAAAAGGAGGAGAAUCCAUCAUCUUCAUCUUCCCACUUCAACUCCACGACGCCCUUUCAUAGCCUCCGCGCAACAUUGUUCCUCUUCGUCGCCUCCACGAACCUCCACCGGCGAAGUCGCAACUUCCAU
rnacentral:lncRNA from 1 species